rnacentral:rRNA from 1 species
GACGAACGCUGGCGGCGUGCUUAACACAUGCAAGUCGAACGGAAAGGCCCCUUUGGGGGUACUCGAGUGGCGAACGGGUGCGUAACACGUGCGUAACCUUCCCUUGACUUCGGGAUAACUUCAGGAAACUGGGGCUAAUACCGGAUAGGAAUCCUUGCUGCAUGGUGGGGGUUGGAAAGCUUCGGCGGUUUUGGAUGGACUCGCGGCUUAUCAGCUUGUUGGUGUGGUAGUGGCUUACCAAGGCUUUGACGGGUAGCCGGCCUGAGAGGGCGACCGGCCACAUUGGGACUGAGAUACGGCCCAGACUCCUACGGGAGGCAGCAGUGGGGAAUAUUGCACAAUGGGCGGAAGCCUGAUGCAGCAACGCCGCGUGCGGGAUGACGGCCUUCGGGUUGUAAACCGCUUUCAGCAGGGGCGAAGCUUUUGUGACGGUACCUGCAGAAGAAGCACCGGCUAACUACGUG